GAUGAACGUUGGCGGUGUGCCUAAUACAUGCAAGUCGAACGGAGUUAGUAGCAAUACUGGCUCAGUGGCGAACGGGUGAGUAACGCGUUGGUGAUCUGCCUUGAAGUGUGGAAUAACGUUUCGAAAGGAACGCUAAUACCGCAUGUGCUCUCGAUUUUCAGAAAGUUGAGAGUAAAGGAUUUAUUCGCUUCAAGAGGAGCCUGCGUCCCAUCAGCUGGUUGGUAGGGUAACGGCCUACCAAGGCUAUGACGGGUAGGGGACCUGAGAGGGUGGCCCCCCACAAUGGAACUGAAACACGGUCCAUACACCUACGGGUGGCAGCAGUAGGGAAUAUUAGAAAUGGACGAAAGUCUGAUCUAGCAACACCGCGUGUGCGAAGAAGGCCUUGGGUCGUAAAGCACUUUUGGAAGGAAUAGGAAGGAAUGUACUUCCAGAAUAAGUCUCGGCUAACUACGUG
rnacentral:rRNA from 1 species